AUUGAACGCUGGCGGCAGGCCUAACACAUGCAAGUCGAACGAGUGGCGGACGGGUGAGUAAUGUCUGGGAAACUGCCCGAUGGAGGGGGAUAACUACUGGAAACAGUAGCUAAUACCGCAUACCAUCGGAUGAGCCAAGAUGGGAUUAGCUAGAAGGGGGGGUAACGGCUGACCUAGGCGACGAUCCCUAGCUGGUCUGAGAGGAUGACCAGCCACACUGGAACUGGGACACGGUCCGGACUCCUACGGGAGGCAGCAGUGGGGAAUAUUGCACAAUGGGCGCAAGCCUGAUGCAGCCAUGCCGCGUGUAUGAAGAAGGCCUUCGGGUUGUAAAGUACUUUCAGCGAGGAGGCGUUACUCGCAGAAGAAGCAUCGGCUAACUCCGUGCCAGCAGCCGCGGUAAUUC
rnacentral:rRNA from 1 species